rnacentral:rRNA from 1 species
CCCUUAGAUGUUCUGGGCCGCACGCGCGCUACACUGAUGCAUUCAACGAGUCUAAAACCUGCUCUGAUAGGGGUGGGUAAUCUUUUGAAUGUGCAUCGUGAUUGGGAUAGAUGAUUGCAAUUUUUCAUCUUCAACGAGGAAUGCCUAGUAAACGCAAGUCAUCAGCUUGCAUUGAUUACGUCCCUGCCCUUUGUACACACCGCCCGUCGCUCCUACCGAUUGAAUGAUCCGAUGAAUAUCAUGGAUUGAGGAUGCAAGUAGGUUAGUCUAUCUUCAUCUUCGAGAAGCGAAGUAAAGCUUAUCAUUUAGAGGAAGGAGAAGUCGUAACA